UUCAACGGCCGCGGUAUCCUAACCGUGCAAAGGUAGCAUAAUCAUUUGCCCAUUAAUUGUGGGCUAGAAUGAAAGGAUUAACGAAAUAAAGACUGUCUCUGCAAGANCACCUAAAAAUUACCCUCUAACCGAAGAGCGUUAGAUAUAGUCGAAGGACAAGAAGACCCUAUAGAGCUUAAUUUAAACAAAUGUAAAAANANUUUACUAAAANUUCGGUUGGGGCGACCGAGGAAANNUGACUAUCAUCCUCAGAUAAAANGAUAAAUAAAUCUAACUAAUNNGACCCUUAANCUAAGAUCACUAAAACAAGCUACCUUAGGGAUAACAGGCUAAUCUCACUAGAGAGUCCUUAUUAAUAGUGAGGUUUGGCACCUCGAUGUUGGCUUAGGGAAUCUAUGCGGCGCAAAAGUCACAUAAAGAUGGUUUGUUCAA
rnacentral:rRNA from 1 species